rnacentral:rRNA from 1 species
UACAGAGGUCUCAAGCGUUGUUCGGAUUCAUUGGGCGUAAAAGGGUGCGUAGGCGGCGCGGUAAGUCGGGUGUGAAAUCUCGGGGCUUAACUCCGAAACUGCAUUCGAUACUGCCGUGCUUGAGGACUGGAGAGGAGACUGGAAUUUACGGUGUAGCGGUGAAAUGCGUAGAUAUCGUAAGGAAGACCAGUGGCGAAGGCGGGUCUCUGGACAGUUCCUGACGCUGAGGCACGAAAGGUCAGGGGAGCAAACGGG